GCGAGAGUGGCGGAAUUGGCAGACGCGCUGGAUUUAGGAUCCAGUUCCAGAGAUGGAGUGGGAGUUCAAAUCUCCCCUUUCGCACCA
rnacentral:tRNA from 1 species